AUUGAACGCUGGCGGCAUGCCUUACACAUGCAAGUCGAACGGCAGCACGGGAGCAAUCCUGGUGGCGAGUGGCGAACGGGUGAGUAAUAUAUCGGAACGUGCCCAGUCGUGGGGAUAACGUAGCGAAAGCUACGCUAAUACCGCAUACGAUCUAUGGAUGAAAGCGGGGGGAUCGCAAGACCUCGCGCGAUUGGAGCGGCCGAUAUCAGAUUAGGUAGUUGGUGAGGUAAAGGCUCACCAAGCCGACGAUCUGUAGCUGGUCUGAGAGGACGACCAGCCACACUGGGACUGAGACACGGUCCAGACUCCUACGGGAGGCAGCAGUGGGGAAUUUUUGGGACAAUGGACGCAAGUCUGAUCCAGCCAUUCCGCGUGCAGGAUGAAGGCCCUCGGGUUGUAAACUGCUUUUGUACGGAACGAAAAGGUUUGUCUUAAUACGAUGAGCUCAUGACGGUACCGUAAGAAUAAG
rnacentral:rRNA from 1 species